rnacentral:lncRNA from 1 species
CAACAUUCAUCUGGGUCUCAAACUGUUUAAACUACACCAGGCUGCAUGAUUCUUGCUCUGUUUUUUCAGUAAGAACCUAGAAACAAUUGUUGUUCUUAAAUGUAAGAACUGUUAAACUAAAAGCACAGUGAUCGUUGCAUGCCUUACAUGAGUUUUGUGAUAAAAGUCAUGAAGUUUAGAUCAUUCACUUUCAAGUUUAUCAAUUUGAUCCUCCCUGGCCCCAAGGAAAAAUGCAUGUAAGAUGUGUGGACCCCUGUAUAACGAAUGAGGAGUUUGUUAUGUGUAACGAACAGGCUUGCUUUUCUUAAUUACCGCUCGUAGGUGCCUCUGAGGGAGCGUAAGGACUGAAGGACCUGGGGAUUGCACAAGAGAAGCCACUUCAGAUUACUGCACACUUUAAACUGGCCUCAAAGAGGCUGGGCUGGCUGGUGUUGAAGAAUUGGAUUCAAAGCAUCUAGAGCAGGAAAUGCCUUUUGAGGUCAUGUGGCCUAUCUGCUAGACACGGAAUUGCACACGCUGUCAGAGUUUCACACCCUCUCUGGGAGGAUUACAUCAGAGCAGGAAGCCGUGUGUGAGCCCCCCUGUCAGCGUUUCCAGCUUCCACAGCAGAAGUAAAUGGAACAACAAAAGGGGUUUUGGCUCCCAAGGGCCAAGUCUGCACUGCGGAAGCCAAACGGCACCAGGAGAGGGUUCUCAGGAUCCUGCUGCUCCAGCUCUGGUGAAACCCAGGCCAAAUAAUUGUUCCAGAAAAGCUAGAGGAAGAUGUUGCCACAUAAUAAAUCAGAUCUUCUCCUGGGGUAACUAGUAAAGCUGCAUUUGUUAACUUCACAUGUCCAAAAUAAUUCAGAAGUACAAGUACAGAGUCUGGAAUAGGGGUCAGUUUUACCUGAGAUGGUUGAAAAG